rnacentral:rRNA from 1 species
AGUGAACGCUGGCGGUAGGCCUAACACAUGCAAGUCGAACGGCAGCACAGUAAGAGCUUGCUCUUACGGGUGGCGAGUGGCGGACGGGUGAGGAAUACAUCGGAAUCUACUUUUUCGUGGGGGAUAACGUAGGGAAACUUACGCUAAUACCGCAUACGACCUACGGGUGAAAGCAGGGGAUCUUCGGACCUUGCGCGAUUGAAUGAGCCGAUGUCGGAUUAGCCAGUUGGCGGGGUAAAGGCCCACCAAGGCGACGAUCCGUAGCUGGUCUGAGAGGAUGAUCAGCCACACUGGAACUGAGACACGGUCCAGACUCCUACGGGAGGCAGCAGUGGGGAAUAUUGGACAAUGGGCGCAAGCCUGAUCCAGCCAUACCGCGUGGGUGAAGAAGGCCUUCGGGUUGUAAAGCCCUUUUGUUGGGAAAGAGAAGCAGCAGGUUAAUACCCCGCUGUUCUGACGGUACCCAAAGAAUAAGCACCGGCUAACUUCGUG